AAUAGAAACAAUAUUGAAUUAUAAAUGUACCUUCGGCUUGGAAGGAAAUGAAAAUACAAGUGUGACGCAAAAGCAAAUGCCAAGUCCGCGUGAACAGUACGGGGGUACUGUUCACCUAUUUAUAGGCACGGGGUACAACCCAUACAAAAUUACAUACAUGCCCUUUACAUUUGGUGAUAAUUCUAUAGCAUUCUAUCGAGGUCUAAAUGGCCUUUUCAUCUUUAAGUCGGUUCCCCUUUCUGCGAACAUGCCGAAGCUUUCCUGCUUCACAGCUUCGGCACUGUGUCAACCUUCGUAUCUUUUGAGCUUCUCCCUUUCUGAUUCAAGUCCGAAGAUACCUGUUUACACAUUAUACUCCAGAAACAUUGUUAAAUCAUGUUUUUGAGGACCUUCGGAAGCCGAAGGCCCCCAACAGUAGCCCCUCGCAAUAUUAAUUUGUUUGAAAUAAUAAAUUCAGAUUGCGAUAUGAACGAAGGCUUUAUGCCGAAGGUCCGAAAAAACACCUUCCCUUUGCUAGAAUAGCAACAUUCAAUGACAAGUGGGGUCUUUCAACUUUCAACGCAUCAAGCGUAUAAAUACGGCCACACCGCAAACUUAUUUUGCACGCUUUCUGGCCAACCACUCCUGCUCACUCAUUUUUUAGCUCUUGUGCACUGUGAUCUGCUAAGUUUUUAGCUUUGAAGCUUCGGCUUUUAGAAACAGUUUUUUAGUGCUUCCGAAGAUGUCUGAAGCUGCUAAGAAGGCUGCUGCUGAGAUGAAGCUGAGUCUUGAUGAAGAGAAGAACCUAGGGUUUCUUAUAGCGAUGUCGAAGUCCAACACAGAAAAGAUUACCAAGGAAAUUCUGGAGGGGCUGUCUGAAGAUACUGGUGACAGUGAAAGUUAUGAUAUGGACAGCGGUGGCGAAGACUCCGAAGAUCGCCCCUGGCGACCAAGCCAUUCAGUUUAUGGUAAAUCAACUAUCAAAGAGAAUCAUCUUGUUAAUAUGAGAGGAAGGUAUUUCCGGGAUCUGUCCAUUGUGAGGGCGGACGAAGGGGAAAAAACUUGUCCACACCCUGAAGAAAAUGAAGUUGUGGUGUACCGAAGCUUUUUGAAAGCUGGAUUGCGAUUUCCCUUGAGCAGCUUCGUCGUGGAGGUGUUGAAAAUCUUCGAAGUCUAUCUUCAUCAACUUACUCCCGAGGCAAUUAUAAGACUAAAUAUCUUCGUGUGGGCCGCGAGGAGUCAAGGUCUGAAGCCUGACGCAAGAAGCUUUUGUAAUGUUCAUGAAUUAUUAUAUGAAACAAAGCCUUGGGGCAAAGAACAGUACCAUAACAACUUUGGCUGCUACAGCUUCGUUUCUCGGUCCGGGGCAAGCUGUCCCGUACCGACCUUUCGGAAGAGAUGGCCCGGGGAUUGGAUGACAGAAUGGUUUUAUGUGAAGAAUGACUUAUCAGCACGAGAAGACAUCAAAGGUAUAAUUAUGCGUCCUAUUUGGCAAAGCUUCGGCCUUCGGAGGCCGAAGGUUGAAAUGAACGAAGCCGCCGAAAAGUGCCAAAGAGCCUUCGGCGUUGUCUGCUCUUUUAUAGGAACAAGGGACUUAGUACAAGAACAUAUCGCCUUCAGGGUGUGGCCGCUUGCUGAGAAAUGGGAAAUGCCACAAGAAACCAUAAAAGAGGCCGACGAAGGUGAGCUUGUGAGACUGAAGUACACCUUCAAAUUUGGAGAUAAAUUUAUUGAGCCAGAUGAUGAGUGGUUGAAAAGCAUUGACAAUUUAAGUGAUGAGCUACUCGGGACCUACUCGAAGGCUGAAGAUAACGCAAUGUCAGCAGCCUUCGGAGGCCGAAAAAAGAAGAGACUGAAUCGGGUAUUUGAUGCCAUUGGGUUUGUCUACCCUGAUUACUGCUAUCCCAUUCGAAGGCAGAAGAGAAAAAACACAAUCUCUGCAAAAGAAGAAGCUGCAGCUGCUCCUAGCGAGCCAGAACCGAAAAGGAAAAAGAUAAAGAUUCUUACGCAACGGCCGCGUUAUAUUGAACCAGCUUCGGUGCCGGAGUUUACCGGGAAAAUUCCUUCAGCCACCGAAGCUGAAAAACUAAUCGAGCCAGCCUUGUUGCCAGAGAUCGCAGAAACGGCCGAAGUGCCACCAAAGAAAGAAUCAGAACAAUCAAACAUUUUGUUGUCAGAAACAAAAGAGAAAACCGAAGCGCCGCUCACAGAAAAAAUUGAGGAGGUAAGAGGAGCAACUGAGGGCUCCAAAACAUCAGAAGUUUUGAGUCCUACAGCAAUCAUUGGGACAGCAAAAAACCAAAAGGGGCCAUCAGUGACCCCAAAAAGGAGAAGAAUGGUAAAUGUACUAGACGUCUUGGAGACAAUUAAGUCUUCAAGCACAAUUCCAAAAAAGAGUGUUGAAGUUGCUGAAGCUUCUACUGAAGCUUCGGCUCAACAAGCUGAAGCUGAAGCUGGACCUUCAGAGCCCUUCAAAGAACAUCCUUUUGAAGCCGAAGCAGUAAAAAUUCCGGAACCAAUAUUAGUUGAAGAAACGGACACCGUCAUCCCCGAAGCACCUGCCGGCAUGCAUGAUUACAUCAUACGACAUGCUUCGGGGAAAAAGCUAUCUGAGGAAGAAACUCAUGAGGCCAACCAUUAUGCAAAGGAGCUGAAAUAUCCGAAGGGGGCAGUAAUAUUCAAUGGAACAAAUGAAGAUGACUUCUUAUACUGCCUGCCUGAUAACAAAGAGCUAUCCGUCUGCCGAGAGAUGGCGAGAAGCAUAGGCUUUCCGAAGCUUGAAGCUGGGUUAAGUGCCAUGACGAAAGAGGAUCUCGCAGACAGCCUCGCGUACAACAGCCUGAAGGUACGGGAAUUAAACACUUGAGAAAAAACCCCCUAUUUUUUUUUUUUUUACGCAACUCAUUCCUUUUUUCUUAUAUGAAUUCUUUUUUCAUAUAGGGCCUGAUCCUAAGCAACGCGUUAAGAGCGCAAAAGAGCGCCGAAGAUGAAAGUUAUGAAAUUGCGUUUAAUAAUUUACGCUCCGAAGUUAUCAAACUGAGAAACGAAGCUUUGGAAAAAGAUAAAAUUCUACUUACACUGGUAGAUAAAGUGAAAAAAGACGAAGCUGCUUCAAAGGCCCAGGCCGAAGCUCAAAAACGCGAGAUUAAAGAUCUUCAGAAACAGCUGGCUAGAGCUAAAGAGGAGCGCGCGCUUGAGGAAACGAAACGAGAACUUAGUGAUUUUAUGGUCAACAAAUUGGAAUCAAAAGUUAAGGAGCUUCGCACAUCUCAGGGGAAAUGCUAUGUCAAAUCUGUAGAAUGUGUGAAGAAAAUUAAAUCCAGCUUCGCCAGCGUAGGCGCCUUUUCCAGCGAAGAGAAUUUCUCUCGAGGCAAUCCCGAAGGUCCGCUGGAAUGGAUUAGCCACGAAGCAGAGGCCUUCGAAGAGAUUCUGAACAGUCGUGGCGACAUAUGUGCUUUUUCGGGCGCCAGAGGAAUUGCUUCCGUCUUAGAGAAGAAAGGUUGCGAACAUGUAAAAUUUUUAGCUCAAUCCGAAGCUACCUUAUCUACCGAAGACAUCAAGGACCCCUCGGCCGAAGCGAGCGUGGUUGGUGGCAAAUUUUUUACUGAUAUCUGGAACGACGGCGGCCGAGGAAUGGCGCGAGAGAUCAUUGAAAGAAGCGAAAAAGGCAUUCACGAUGCUAGAAGAGUAGCAGACGCUGCCGAAAGGAGUAGGGAGCCCGAAGGACAGUUAGGUAUCAACUAGUCGUUCUUGUUGCGUUGUAAUUUUCAUUUUAAACUUUGCUCACGAUUUGUAAAAGUACUGAAGAAGUGUUCUCUUCGCUCAGAAACUGUUGGACGAUCUGCCGACCCCCACACAAAAGGGGAUGAAGAAAUUAAUCAAAUGGCCGAAACUAUCAUGGACAAGGUUGUUGACCAACUUCUGAAUGAAGCCGCCGAAGCAGUAUUGAGAGAAGAUUAGGUGCUAUUUGGAAAAAACAUUUAAAGUGUAAUCUAUGCGACACUUUGUACAUUUGAAUGUAAUAUACAAGUCUCUUUUCAUUAUUGAAUUCUUUACGAUGCAUGAAACUUUAAAUACAUACCACUUUUGAGCCUUCGGCGAAAAAACACCUUCCCUUCUUUUCAUGCGUCGUGAAGAAGAUAGCCUUCGUCAAAAUUAUUCUGAUGAAUGACAUCGAUGCCUCGUGAAAACAUUUUCCGAAGCUAUUUUCCGAAGCUAUGCAACUUUGAUAUUGAUCUGAUAAAGUUCGCCCAUGUUUCGUGAAAAUAUUCCCCGAAACUGUAUUCCGAAGCUAUACAAUUUCAAUGUCACUUUUUCAAAGCAUCCCUUCGAAGGUUGAGAGUGUCCCCUUCUUUUGCCAAAUGCGAUAUGAUGUAUGAUGCUUAUGCUAUGCAAAAUGAUGUGAUGAUGUUAUGUUAUGCAUGUGACGUUUGUUCCGAAGAUACACAUAAAAUAUAUUCGUAAGCUCUGCAUUCCCUUAGGAACGUCUUUGGAGCUUCUUCGUCUUUUACUUAGACGGCAUCAGCGUUGACUUUUCGCUGUAAGCCUCCCUUAGGAGCUUCUUCGUCUUUUACUUAGACGGUAUCAGCGUUGACUUUUCGCUGUAGGCUCUGCAUUCCUUUAGGAACGACUUCUGAGCAGAAAACUUACGCUGCGCUCCCUUUGGAACGACUUUUUGUGACUUUAUAAACUUACUCUGCGUUCCUUAGAACGACUUUUUGUUACUCCGAAGGAUUUUUAGUCCGAAGGUCCUUCUUGGUAACGGAAGAAAUUUUAGGCUUCGGCAACUUAGGCCUGUGAAUCAAAUAAAUUUUUCUCGUGGAAACAACGAAAUUAUUACAUGGAAACUAUCAAUGUUUUUUGCUUCACAGAAAAUAAAACUGAAUAGAAAAAACUGCUAUGAAAGGUAGGAUAUGUCAAUAAAUGUGCUUCGACUCUGGCACAGUGCUGUUGACUGUGCGAGCUUCGGACUGUUCUCUGAAGUCCCUCUGCUGUGGAGCGUAUUGACUCCCUUCUGGCUGUUGACCUUGCUGCAAUGGAGGUGGAGGCGGAAGCUGCUGCCAGGAAGCUUGAGGUUGACUUGCCGAAGCUACAGAAGCCGCAGGGUGGUUGUCUAUGUAUUGUGGGACAUAAGGCGGAUGAAACGAAGCAGUAUACAUAACCUGCUUCGACUGAGCUUGUUGAGAUGCAGCUUCGGCUAGUUCCUUUUGCUUCUGGAUUGUAACAUGGCACGUCCUAGUGGUGUGGCCCUUGCCCUCUCCACAGAAUAGGCAAAACAGUCUCCUUGGCUGAUCUCCGAAUCUUCCGCCGAAGCCCCUGGCGCCUCUGCCUCUUGGAGCUGGUGGCCGAAAGGAAGUUUGUUGUUGCCCCGAAGCCUGUGAGGAGCACUGCGGCCUGUUUUGCUGACUCCCCUUAUCAUCAUUCUGAGUGCUGUGAAUGGAACGGACAUGCCUCGGGUAGUAUCUUCCUCCGAAGCCCCUGGUCAUCUCAGAAAAUCUGAAGGCCUCCUCCCUUCUUUGGCGAAAGUCAUUGUCGGCACGAAUGUACUCAUCCAUCUUUUGGAGCAAUUUCUCCAAGGUCUGAGGAGGCUUCCGAGCAAAGUAUUGAGCUGCAGGUCCAGGACGAAGCCCCUUGAUCAUGGCUUCGAUAACGAUUUCAUUGGGCACCGUUGGUGCCUGCGCCCUCAAUCGUAAGAACCUUCGGACAUACGCCUGAAGGUAUUCUUCGUGAUCCUGAAUACACUGGAAGAGGGCUUGAGCUGUAACCGGCUUCGUUUGAAAUCCUUGAAAGCUGGUCAGUAACAUAUCCUUCAGCUUCUGCCAUGAAGUGAUUGUUCCUGGCCGAAGGGAGGAAUACCAGGUCUGAGCAACAUUCCUGACGGCCAUGACGAAAGACUUCGCCAUGACUGCAGCGUUGCCCCCGUACGAAGACACUGUUGCUUCGUAGCUCAUCAAGAAUUGCUUCGGGUCGGAGUGGCCGUCAAACAUGGGGAGCUGGGGUGGCUUAUAGGAUGGAGGCCAAGGAGUAGCCUGCAGCUCAGCAGACAGAGGAGAAGCAUCAUCAAAAACAAAAUUUCCCUGAUGGAAAUUAUCAUACCAGUCGUCUUCGUUGACGAAGCCCUCCUGAUGAAGGUCUUUCUGAUGAGGCCUUCUGUUCUGCUCAUCGUGAGUGAGAUGGCGAACUUCCUCAGAAGCUUCGUCAAUUUGCCUUUGCAACUCAGCUAGGCGGGCCAUCUUCUCCUUCUUCCUCUGCACUUGUUGAUGUAGCAUCUCCAUCUCUCUGAUUUCUUGGUCUAGCUCUUCUUCCUCAAGCGUCGGGCUAACAGCUUUUCUCUUCUGGCUUCUGGCCUCCCGAAGAGAGACGGUCUCCUGGUUGUGGUCCAGCGGUUGUAGUGCUGCAGCCCCAGCCGCUGAAGCUUUCUUCGGCGCCAUAGCGAAGGUCUAUAGCUUCCGAAGGUGUUCACGAAGACUCGAAGUGGAAGUGAGUUCACCGGAGGUGGGCGCCAAUGUUGGUGACUUGUUCUCAAAUGCUUCGAGUUAAGAACAAGGCAACACAGAAAAUGUUAAACAUUAAGAUCCUUCGUCCUUCGAAGCAUUAUUUCCCUUAGGAUAUAACGAUCCCCGGACGAAGGUCAUGAAGGAUUAACCUUCAUCACUAUAAUAUACAUUAGUAAAAGACGAAGCAUAUGAAACAUAAAAGAUAGCGUGAAUAAUCGUAUAACAUUAUUCAUUUAACUUUAUUAACUCAUCAUAAAAGAAUAGAAACAAUAUUGAAUUAUAAAUGUACCUUCGGCUUGGAAGGAAAUGAAAAUACAAGUGUGACGCAAAAGCAAAUGCCAAGUCCGCGUGAACAGUACGGGGGUACUGUUCACCUAUUUAUAGGCACGGGGUACAACCCAUACAAAAUUACAUACAUGCCCUUUACAUUUGGUGAUAAUUCUAUAGCAUUCUAUCGAGGUCUAAAUGGCCUUUUCAUCUUUAAGUCGGUUCCCCUUUCUGCGAACAUGCCGAAGCUUUCCUGCUUCACAGCUUCGGCACUGUGUCAACCUUCGUAUCUUUUGAGCUUCUCCCUUUCUGAUUCAAG
rnacentral:lncRNA from 1 species